AGUGAACGCUGGCGGUAGGCCUAACACAUGCAAGUCGAACGGCAGCACAGGAGAGCUUGCUCUCUGGGUGGCGAGUGGCGGACGGGUGAGGAAUACAUCGGAAUCUACCUUUUCGUGGGGGAUAACGUAGGGAAACUUACGCUAAUACCGCAUACGACCUUCGGGUGAAAGCAGGGGACCUUCGGGCCUUGCGCGAUUGAAUGAGCCGAUGUCGGAUUAGCUAGUUGGCGGGGUAAGGGCCCACCAAGGCGACGAUCCGUAGCUGGUCUGAGAGGAUGAUCAGCCACACUGGAACUGUGACACGGUCCAGACUCCUACGGGAGGCAGCAGUGGGGAAUAUUGGACAAUGGGCGCAAGCCUGAUCCAGCCAUACCGCGUGGGUGAAGAAGGCCUUCGGGUUGUAAAGCCCUUUUGUUGGGAAAGAAAUCCAGCUGGCUAAUACCCGGUUGGGAUGACGGUACCCAAAGAAUAAGCACCGGCUAACUUCGUGCCAGCAGCCGCCGUAA
rnacentral:rRNA from 1 species